rnacentral:rRNA from 1 species
AUGACCUUGAUGGAGAUGCCAAUGCUAAAAUCAGACAAGCCUGCCACAUAUUUGGACCCAAGCCUCCUUGAUCUACCAAUUUAUGUGGACGAUGUCAAUGCUAAACUUCAGUGCCGCAUGGGCAGUGCUUGGCCCAAAGGGCUGAAUCUCGGUAAGAAUAAAUUCAGAGGUAUGAUCCCCCAAGAGAUUGGUCAUCUGAAAGCACUCACUUACCUAAACUUGAGUUUCAACAACUUUUAUGGAGAGAUCCCACAAACAAUCUGCAAGCUCACGAACCUCCAGGGGCUAGAUUUGUCUAAUAACCACCUCACUGGUGCAAUCCCUGUGCCGUUGGAUAAUCUUCACUUCCUUUCGCGAUUCAAUGUUUCUGACAACGACCUAGAAGGAUCUAUUCCAACAGAAGGGCAGCUAAGCACGUUUCAGGCUUCUAGUUUUGACGGGAACCCAAAGCUGUGCGGCUCGGUGCUUAUUAACCAUUGCAGUUCAGUUGAAGCAGCUCCCGUCUCCAUCAUCUCUCCGAGUCGUGGAUCGACGGAUUGUAUGAGCUACACCGGUCGCCAGUCGCCGGUUCGCCAGCUUCCGCGGCUUGCUAUACCAGCCCACGGGGCCAACUUGUGCAGCCGGCAGACCAUGGGGCCAACUUGA